UCACAGCCUGGGUCAGGAGAUUACAUUAAAACAGGUUACAUCACAGCCUGGGUCAGGAGAUUACAUUAAAACAGGUUACAUCACAGCCUGGGUCAGGAGAUUACAUUAAAACAGGUUACAUCACAGCCUGGGUCAGGAGAUUACAUUAAAACAGGUUACAUCACAGCCUGGGUCAGGAGAUUACAUUAAAACAGGUUACAUCACAGCCUGGGUCAGGAGAUUACAUUAAAACAGGUUACAUCACAGCCUGGGUCAGGAGAUUACAUUAAAACAGGUUACAUCACAGCCUGGGUCAGGAGAUUACAUUAAAACAGGUUACAUCACAGCCUGGGUCAGGAGAUUACAUUAAAACAGGUUACAUCACAGCCUGGGUCAGGAGAUUACAUUAAAACAGGUUACAUCACAGCCUGGGUCAGGAGA